CAGAUGAUUGGGGUGAAGUCGUAACAAGGUAGCCGUAUCGGAAGGUGCGGCUGGAUCACCUCCUUUCUAAGGAA
rnacentral:rRNA from 2 species